AUUAACGCUAGCGGCAGGCAUAAUACAUGCAAGUUGAACGGCAGCACAGGUAGCAAUACCGGGUGGCGAGUGGCGCACGGGUGCGUAACACGUAUGCAACCUACCCUAUACAGGCGAAUAACCUUUAGAAAUGAGGGCUAAUACGCCGUGGUAUUAUCUUGGGGCAUCUUGAGAUAAUUAAAGAUUUAUCGGUAUAGGAUGGGCAUGCGUCCCAUUAGUCAGUUGGUAGGGUAACGGCCUACCAAGGCUAUGAUGGGUAGGGG
rnacentral:rRNA from 1 species